rnacentral:tRNA from 1 species
GCAGUCGUGGCCGAGUGGUUAAGGCGAUUGUCUUGAAAACCAUUGGGUUCUGCCACGUAGGUUCGAAUCCUACCGACUGCG